UGUAAGGUUCUCCUCCUCGUCUUUCUCCUACUCGGGGGUGGCCGCACCGCGCCUGCGCGGUAUCGUGUUUCCCUCCAGCACGUGCGCGCCCGCCUGGGGGCGGGCGGAAGAGGACGGCGGCAGAGGCGGGUCUAGGCGCUGAUUGAGCUUUCUCUUGAGGCGGGCAACCGAGUUCCCUCCCCGCGAGGAGACAUGACCCCUCACAGAGACUGGGCUAUGUCAGCAGAAACCAGUCCUGGAAAUGCUUUUGUGUAAAAAUGUGGAUAGCCUGAGAGCAAAUGCAGAUCAACCAAGAGAACAGCAGGUGGAAAAUCAGUCGGCCUCAGAGUGCCAAGAUUGCCCUGGCAAGAUUUACCAGAGAAUGGAGUGGCAACAAGAGCAUCAAUCCAACCUCAUCCAGCAUGAAGGAGAGUACUGUGACCGAAGAAUAUACAUUCUCGAUGAGAGUUAGAACAGCA
rnacentral:lncRNA from 14 species